rnacentral:rRNA from 1 species
GUCGAGCGAGCGGAACUAACAGAUUUACUUCGGUAAUGACGUUAGGAAAGCGAGCGGCGGAUGGGUGAGUAACACGUGGGGAACCUGCCCCAUAGUCUGGGAUACCACUUGGAAACAGGUGCUAAUACCGGAUAAGAAAGCAGAUCGCAUGAUCAGCUUUUAAAAGGCGGCGUAAGCUGUCGCUAUGGGAUGGCCCCGCGGUGCAUUAGCUAGUUGGUAAGGUAAAGGCUUACCAAGGCGAUGAUGCAUAGCCGAGUUGAGAGACUGAUCGGCCACAUUGGGACUGAGACACGGCCCAAACUCCUACGGGAGGCAGCAGUAGGGAAUCUUCCACAAUGGACGCAAGUCUGAUGGAGCAACGCCGCGUGAGUGAAGAAGGUUUUCGGAUCGUAAAGCUCUGUUGUUGGUGAAGAAGGAUAGAGGUAGUAACUGGCCUUUAUUUGACGGUAAUCAACCAGAAAGUCACGGCUAACUACGUGCCAGCAGCCGCGGUAAUACGUAGGUGGCAAGCGUUGUCCGGAUUUAUUGGGCGUAAAGCGAGCGCAGGCGGAAGAAUAAGUCUGAUGUGAAAGCCCUCGGCUUAACCGAGGAACUGCAUCGGAAACUGUUUUUCUUGAGUGCAGAAGAGGAGAGUGGAACUCCAUGUGUAGCGGUGGAAUGCGUAGAUAUAUGGAAGAACAC